AGUUGGAACUGAACUGCUUUUGGCUCUGGCAGAAUUUCUCUGCCUGAACUACAAAAAGAACCCAGCUGUUACCCAAAGUCCUGCUCUAUCACCCAGGCUUGAGUGCAAUGGCAUGAUCUCGGCUCACUGCAACCUCCACCUCCUGGAUUCAAGCAAUUAUCCCGCCUCAGCUUCCUGAGUAGCUGGGACUACAGAUGCCCACCACCAUGCCCGGCUAAUUUUUUUAUAUUUUUGGUAGAGACGGGGUUUUGCCAUGUUGGCCACGCUGGUCUCGAACUCCUGACCUCAGUUGGUUGACAGGACUAGGAUUGUGAUUGUCCCUUCUCUAAAUCCAGAUGGGCGAGAGAGAGCUCAAGAGAAAGACUGUACUUCAAAAAUAGGACAAACAAAUGCUCGUGGCAAAGAUUUGGAUACAGACUUCACAAAUAAUGCCUCCCAACCUGAGACCAAAGCCAUCAUUGAAAAUUUGAUUCAAAAACAGGACUUUAGUCUUUCUGUUGCCUUAGAUGGUGGUUCCAUGCUGGUCACAUAUCCUUAUGACAAGCCAGUACAGACAGUGGAAAAUAAAGAGACUCUGAAGCAUUUGGCAUCUCUUUAUGCAAAUAAUCAUCCAUCCAUGCACAUGGGUCAGCCCAGUUGCCCAAAUAAAUCAGAUGAGAAUAUUCCAGGAGGAGUAAUGCGUGGAGCAGAAUGGCAUAGUCACCUGGGCAGCAUGAAGGAUUAUAGUGUCACCUAUGGCCAUUGUCCGGAAAUCACAGUAUACACAAGCUGCUGUUACUUUCCUAGUGCUGCACGACUCCCUUCC
rnacentral:lncRNA from 1 species